UGCCAACUUCUAUUUCCAAUUCCUUC
rnacentral:piRNA from 1 species